GUCAAUGUGGCAUAGUGGUUUGAGUGUUGGACUGUGACUCUGGAGGCCAGGGUCCUAAUCCCAGCUCAGCCA